rnacentral:rRNA from 1 species
AGUGAACGCUGGCGGUAGGCCUAACACAUGCAAGUCGAACGGCAGCACAGUAAGAGCUUGCUCUUACGGGUGGCGAGUGGCGGACGGGUGAGGAAUACAUCGGAAUCUACUUUUUCGUGGGGGAUAACGUAGGGAAACUUACGCUAAUACCGCAUACGACCUACGGGUGAAAGCAGGGGAUCUUCGGACCUUGCGCGAUUGAAUGAGCCGAUGUCGGAUUAGCUAGUUGGCGGGGUAAAGGCCCACCAAGGCGACGAUCCGUAGCUGGUCUGAGAGGAUGAUCAGCCACACUGGAACUGAGACACGGUCCAGACUCCUACGGGAGGCAGCAGUGGGCAAUAUUGGACAAUGGGCGCAAGCCUGAUCCAGCCAUACCGCGUGGGUGAAGAAGGCCUUCGGGUUGUAAAGCCCUUUUGUUGGGAAAGAAAAGCAGCGGGUUAAUACCCCGCUGUUCUGACGGUACCCAAAGAAUAAGCACCGGCUAACUUCGUG